rnacentral:rRNA from 1 species
AGGAUGAACGCUAGCUACAGGCUUAACACAUGCAAGUCGAGGGGAAACGACAUCGAAAGCUUGCUUUUGAUGGGCGUCGACCGGCGCACGGGUGAGUAACGCGUAUCCAACCUGCCCAUCACUUGGGGAUAACCUUGCGAAAGUAAGACUAAUACCCAAUGACGUCUCUAGAAGACAUCUGAAAGAGAUUAAAGAUUUAUCGGUGAUGGAUGGGGAUGCGUCUGAUUAGCUUGUUGGCGGGGUAACGGCCCACCAAGGCAACGAUCAGUAGGGGUUCUGAGAGGAAGGUCCCCCACAUUGGAACUGAGACACGGUCCAAACUCCUACGGGAGGCAGCAGUGAGGAAUAUUGGUCAAUGGGCGAGAGCCUGAACCAGCCAAGUAGCGUGCAGGAUGACGGCCCUAUGGGUUGUAAACUGCUUUUAUAAGGGAAUAAAGUGAGUCUCGUGAGACUUUUUGCAUGUACCUUAUGAAUAAGGACCGGCUAAUUCCGUGCCAGCAGCCGCGGUAAUACGGAAGGUCCGGGCGUUAUCCGGAUUUAUUGGGUUUAAAGGGAGCGUAGGCCGGAGAUUAAGCGUGUUGUGAAAUGUAGACGCUCAACGUCUGCACUGCAGCGCGAACUGGUUUCCUUGAGUACGCACAAAGUGGGCGGAAUUCGUGGUGUAGCGGUGAAAUGCUUAGAUAUCACGAAGAACUCCGAUUGCGAAGGCAGCUCACUGGAGCGCAACUGACGCUGAAGCUCGAAAGUGCGGGUAUCGAACAGGAUUAGAUACCCUGGUAGUCCGCACGGUAAACGAUGGAUGCCCGCUGUUGGUCUGAAUAGGUCAGCGGCCAAGCGAAAGCAUUAAGCAUCCCACCUGGGGGGUACGCCGGCAACGGUGCAACUCAAAGGAAUUGACGG